AUAAAAAUCGUAACCGUUGGGUUUUGAUUUGAAAGGCGCUUUCGGGUGUCCCUGAUGGAUGGACCCGCGGUGCAUUAGCUAGUUGGUGAGGUAACGGCUCACCAAGGCCACGAUGCAUAGCCGACCUGAGAGGGUGAUCGGCCACAUUGGGACUGAAACACGGCCCAAACUCCUACGGGAGGCACCAGUAGGGAAUCUUCGGCAAUGGACGAAAGUCUGACCGAGCAACGCCGCGUGAGUGAAGAAGGUUUUCGGAUCGUAAAACUCUGUUGUUAGAGAAGAACAAGGAUGAGAGUAACUGUUCAUCCCUUGACGGUAUCUAACCAAAAAGCCACGGCUAACUACGUGCCAGCAGCCGCGGUAAUACGUAGGUGGCAAGCGUUGACCGGAUUUGUUGGGCGUAAACCCAGCCCAGGCGGUUUCUUAAGUCUGAUGUGAAAGCCCCCGGCUCAACCGGGGAGGGUCAUUGGAAACUGGGAGACUUGAGGGCAGAAGAGGAGAGUGGAAUCCCACGUGUAGCGGUGAAAUGCGUAGAUAUAUGGAGGAACACCAGUGGCGAAGGCGUUUUUCCGUUCUGUAACUGACGCUGAGGCUCGAAAGCUUGGGGAGCAAACAGGUUUAGAUACCCUGGUAGUCCACGCCGUAAACGAUGAGUGCUAAGUGUUGGAGGGUUUCCGCCUUUCAGUGCUGCAGCUAACGCAUUAAGCAUUCCGCCUGGGGAGUACGACCGCAAGGUUGAAACUCAAAGGAAUUGACGGGGGCCCGCACAAGCGGUGGAGCAUGUGGUUUAAUUCGAAGCAACGCGAAGAACCUUACCAGGUCUUGACAUCCUUUGACCACUCUAGAGAUAGAGCUUCCCCUUCGGGGGCAAAGUGCCAGGUGGUGCAUGGUUGUCGUCAGCUCGUGUCGUGAGAUGUUGGGUUAAGUCCCGCAACGAGCGCAACCCUUAUUGUUAGUUGCCAUCAUUCAGUUGGGCACUCUAGCAAGACUGCCGGUGACAAACCGGAGGAAGGUGGGGAUGACGUCAAAUCAUCAUGCCCCUUAUGACCUGGGCUACACACGUGCUACAAUGGGAAGUACAACGAGUUGCGAAGUCGCGAGGUUAAGUUAAUCUGUUAAAGCUUUAGUCAGUUCGGA
rnacentral:rRNA from 1 species